rnacentral:rRNA from 1 species
AUUGAACGCUGGCGGCAUGCCUUACACAUGCAAGUCGAACGGCAGCACGGGAGCAAUCCUGGUGGCGAGUGGCGAACGGGUGAGUAAUGUAUCGGAACGUGCCCAGUCGUGGGGGAUAACGCAGCGAAAGCUGUGCUAAUAACGCAUACGAUCUAAGGAUGAAAGCGGGGGAUCGCAAGACCUCGCGCGAUUGGAGUGGCCGAUAUCAGAUUAGCUAGUUGGUGGGGUAAAGGCUCACCAAGGCGACGAUCUGUAGCUGGUCUGAGAGGACGACCAGCCACACUGGAACUGAGACACGGUCCAGACUCCUACGGGAGGCAGCAGUGGGGAAUUUUGGACAAUGGGCGCAAGCCUGAUCCAGCAAUGCCGCGUGCAGGAUGAAGGCCUUCGGGUUGUAAACUGCUUUUGUACGGAGCGAAAAGGCUCUCUCUAAUACGGGGGGCUCAUGACGGUACCGUAAGAAUAAGCACCGGCUAACUACGUGCCAGCAGCCGCGGUAA